GCCUAAGACAUCCGAUAAAAUUGGAACGAUACAGAGAAGAUUAGCAUGGCCCCUGCGCAAGGAUGACACGCAUAAAUCGAGAAAUUUAAUCCUGUCCG